ensembl:misc_RNA Y_RNA Y RNA
AGCUGGUCCAACUGCAGUGGUGUUUGCAACUAAUUGAUCACAAUCAGUUGCAGAUUUAUUUGUUCCUUCUUUACUCCCACUGCUCCACUUAGCUAGCCUUAU